rnacentral:misc_RNA from 1 species
GAUGAAGAACGUAGCGAAAUGCGAUACGUAAUGUGAAUUGCAAAUUCAGUGAAUCAUCGAGUCUUUGAACGCACAUUGCGCCCCCUGGUAUUCCGGGGGGCAUGCCUGUUCGAGCGUCAUUUGUACCUUCAAGCUUUGCUUGGUGUUGGGUGUUUGUCUCGCCUUUGCGUGUAGACUCGCCUUAAAAUAAUUGGCAGCCGGCGUAUUGAUUUCGGAGCGCAGUACAUCUCGCGCUUUGCACUCAUAACGACAGCGUCCAAAAGUACAUUUUACACUCUUGACCUCGGAUCAGGUAGGGAUACCCGCUGAACUUAAGCAUAUCAAUAAGCGGAGGA